UACGUAGGGUGCAAGCGUUGUCCGGAAUUAUUGGGCGUAAAGAGCUCGUAGGCGGUCUGUCGCGUCGGAUGUGAAAACCCAGGGCUCAACCUGGGCCUGCAGUGGGUACGGGCAGACUAGAGUGCGGUAGGGGAGAUUGGAAUUCCUGGUGUAGCGGUGGAAUGCGCAGAUAUCAGGAGGAACACCAAUGGCGAAGGCAGAUCUCUGGGCCGUAACUGACGCUGAGGAGCGAAAGCAUGGGGAGCGAACAGG
rnacentral:rRNA from 1 species